rnacentral:misc_RNA from 1 species
AUAUAAUGGAGAUAAAAGAUAUUAUGCAUCCCGCAGAAUUAUUGCGGGAUGACAAUGAACAUGACUCUGAUGGCUCGGUGAUGCCAGUAAUACAAUUUCUUGAAAUGGGAACUAGUAUUAAUGAAAUGGGACCAAGUACCAGUGCAAUGGGACAAAGCACCAGUAAUAUUGGACUAAGUACUAGUGAAGAACUGGAAAUUCAAUUAAAGAUAUUUAUUUGACAAUGAAUUUAAAGAAAAUAAAGAAUUCCCACAACAAAUGUUAGAGACACCAAAAAACAGUUCAUUAGAGAGGGCCACUGCUAAGUCUAAAAAUAGCCCGAAGAUAGGAAAAAGUAA